rnacentral:tRNA from 1 species
AGAGGGCUAGUUUAAUAAAACGUUUGAUUUCGGCUCAAAAAUUUGUGGUUAAAGCCCACAGCCAAUCU